rnacentral:rRNA from 1 species
AGCGAACGCUGGCGGCAGGCCUAACACAUGCAAGUCGAGCGAGAACUGGGCCUUCGGGCCCGGGGACAGCGGCGAACGGGUGAGUAACACGUGGGUAACCUGCCCUCGGCACCGGGAUAGCCCGGGGAAACCCGGGUUAAUACCGGACGGUCUCCGGAGCCUUCGGGCGCCGGAGAAAAGGUGGCUUCGGCAUCCGGCCGAGAAGGGGCCGGCGGCGGAUUAGCUUGUUGGUGGGGUAACGGCUCACCAAGGCGCAGAUCCGUAGCUGGUCUGAGAGGACGAUCAGCCACACUGGGACUGAGACACGGCCCAGACUCCUACGGGAGGCAGCAGUGGGGAAUCUUGCGCAAUGGGCGAAAGCCUGACGCAGCGACGCCGCGUGCGGGAAGAAGGCCUUCGGGUUGUAAACCGCUUUCAGGAGGGACGAAGCCACUCGGGUGAACAGCCCAGAGGGUGACGGUACUUCCAGAAGAAGCCCCGGCUAACUACGUGCCAGCCGCCGCGGUAACAC